UGGGCGUUAAGUUGCAGGGUAUAGACCCGAAACCCGGUGAUCUAGCCAUGGGCAGGUUGAAGGUUGGGUAACACUAACUGGAGGACCGAACCGACUAAUGUUGAAAAAUUAGCGGAUGACCUGUGGCUGGGGGUGAAAGGCCAAUCAAACCGGGAGAUAGCUGGUUCUCCCCGAAAGCUAUUUAGGUAGCGCCUCGUGAAUUCAUCUCCGGGGGUAGAGCACUGUUUCGGCUAGGGGGCCAUCCCGGCUUACCAACCCGAUGCAAACUGCGAAUACCGGAGAAUGUUAUCACGGGAGACACACGGCGGGUGCUAACGUCCGUCGUGAAGAGGGAAACAACCCAGACCGCCAGCUAAGGUCCCAAAGUCAUGGUUAAGUGGGAAACGAUGUGGGAAGGCCCAGACAGCCAGGAUGUUGGCUUAGAAGCAGCCAUCAUUUAAAGAAAGCGUAAUAGCUCACUGGUCGAGUCGGCCUGCGCGGAAGAUGUAACGGGGCUAAACCAUGCACCGAAGCUGCGGCAGCGACGCUUAUGCGUUGUUGGGUAGGGGAGCGUUCUGUAAGCCUGUGAAGGUGUGUCGUGA
rnacentral:rRNA from 1 species